rnacentral:rRNA from 1 species
UACGGAAGGCAGCAGUGGGGAAUAUUGCACAAUGGGCGCAAGCCUGAUGCAGCCAUGCCGCGUGUAUGAAGAAGGCCUUCGGGUUGUAAAGUACUUUCAGUCGUGAGGAAGGUGUUAAGGUUAAUAACCUUAGCAAUUGACGUUAGCGACAGAAGAAGCACCGGCUAACUCCGUGCCAGCAGCCGCGGUAAUACGGAGGGUGCGAGCGUUAAUCGGAAUUACUGGGCGUAAAGGGCACGCAGGCGGUUAAUUAAGUUGGAUGUGAAAUCCCCGGGCUUAACCUGGGAAUGGCAUUCAAGACUGGUUAGCUAGAGUCUUGUAGAGGGGGUAGAAUUCCAUGUGUAGCGGUGAAAUGCGUAGAGAUGUGGAGGAAUACCGGUGGCGAAGGCGGCCCCUGGACAAGACUGACGCUCAUGUGCGAAAGCGUGGGGAGCAAACG